rnacentral:tRNA from 1 species
GCCGAUGUGGUGGAACUGGUAGACACGCGGCACUUAGGAUGCCGUGUCUUCGGACGUGCAGGUUCAAGUCCUGUCAUCGGCACCC